rnacentral:RNase_P_RNA from 1 species
GGUUCGAUUCGGGCAAUUGCUUUUCCCGAUUAAGUCGGGAAGGGAGGAAAGUCCGAACUUCACAGAACAGGGUGCCGGGUAACACCCGGGUUUCCUGAUAAAAUCGGGAAAACGGAAAGUGCCACAGAAAAUAUACUUCCUCCGAUAUUAUCGGUGGUAAAGGUGAAAAGGCAGGGUAAGAGCCUACCGCAAAGAUGGUAACAUCUUUGGCAGGGUAAACCCCACUCGAAGCAAGGUCAAAUAAGGAAGUCUAUCCCGAUAAAUCGGGACAAAGAUGUUCUGCUUUGAUUAUCCUGCAACAAGUGGGAUAGGAUUUCCGGGUAGACCGCUUGAGCUUGUUAGUAAUAACAGGAGAAGACAAAUAAUUGCCAUCCCGGGUAAAAAUCGGGAGACAGAAUUCGGCUUAUAGGAUUGAACCAAGC